AUAUUUUAGAAUUUUAAAUUUAUUUCCAGUUAGAAAACUAUUCGCUGGACUCCGUGUUGCUGGCCACCAUCGUAAACAUAACUGGUUGCCAGCGAACGGCGUAAAACGCCGGCCAUCUUCUUCUUCAACGUAUUCUCCCUUCAUCUUUUGAGGUAAGCUUGUGAUUAUGAGUUUCUUCUCUUACUUAGCUUGUAAUUAUAGAUUUUGAUUUUUUUUAAUUCGUAUUGUAGCCGUUAUUGUCAAUUUUUGUCCCGCCAGCAAUAUUUUUUUAUUCCUACAAGUUGAA
rnacentral:lncRNA from 1 species